UCAAAACAGCGGACUUCGGUCUUUGCUGCACCCUUGUCUUUUGCGCACCGAAUUGUUUCCUCGGCGGGCUUGCCUGCCGGUUGGAUAUUCUCAAAACCUUUUUGUAGUUGCAAUCAGCGUCAGAAAACAAAAUAAUUAUUA
rnacentral:misc_RNA from 1 species